CCACCGCGCCUGCGCGAAGUGAGGGCUGCGCAGGCGCGGCCGGCGCGUUGCUAGGCAGAGCGCGGGCCGCCGCCGGCGCGGGGUGGCGGUUGCGGAGGGCCGCCACUGGCGCAGCCGGUCGCCGCUGCCGUAGCGCGGGGUGACCUCGCUCGGCCCGCCGCGGGGAGGCGCCCGGGGAGCAGGGGCGGUGGCGAAGGGCACGUUGGCGACUGGGCUGGGAGAUUCCCUUCAAAGAGCUAGCGGCGCUUGGGGGGGUCGUGGGUAGCCGCGGUGCCAUGGAGAAGGGCCAGCGGAACGACAUAGUGUUUAACGCGUCCAAGGGGGAGGCUUUCACUCUCAACAGCGGUUACAAAUCCCUGCGCAAAAGGCUUCGUAGUAGCUGGAAGAUACGAAGUUUAAGAGAUGAGAUCACGUCGGAGAAACUGGUUGGAGUAAAACUAUGGAUUACAGCAGGGCCAAGAGAAAAGUUCACUGCUGCUGAGUUUUCUGUUCUGAAGAAAUUCCUGGAGGAGGGUGGAGCUCUACUGGUGAUGCUGACAGAAGGCGGUGAAUCCAGAUAUGGCACAAAUAUUAACUACUUGUUAGAAGACUAUGGGGUAGCGGUCAAUAAUGAUGCUGUAGUACGAAAUGUAUAUUACAAGUACUUCCACCCGAAAGAAGCACUAAUUUCUGAUGGAGUUUUGAAUAGAGGAAUCAGUGAAGCUGCAAGAAAAACAGGGUUUGAGACAACAUAUGAAGAUGGAGGUGCACAUGCUGCACAAACUCUUACUUUUGUGUAUCCAUUUGGUGCAACACUGAAUGUAAUGAAACCAGCAGUGGCUGUUUUGUCCACAGGAUCUGUUUGCUUCCCACUCAACCGACCCAUUCUUGCUUUUUAUCAGCAUGAGGCUCAAGGUGGAAAGAUGGCAGUGUUGGGAUCUUGCCACAUGUUUUCUGAUCAAUAUUUGGAUAAAGAAGAAAACAGUAAGAUCAUGGAUGUGCUUUUCCAGUGGCUCACAACAUCAGAUAUCCAGUUAAACCAGGUGGAUAUGGAGGACCCUGGGGUAAGAGAGAGCCAUCACAAUGAAAUUUCAGACUAUACAAUGAUCCCGGAUACAGGUGCGUUGUCUGAGCGAUUGAGAGUCUGUCUACAAGAGGGAGAGGAAAUCCCAAGAGACUUCACAAAGUUGUUUGAUACGUCUCUCUAUGAGCUAGAUACAACUGCCCUCCCUUCGGUUAUCAAAGCUUAUGAGCAGCUGAAUGUGAAGCGUGAACCUCUCCGGCUCAUUCGGCCUCAGUUUGAGACUCCACUACCUCCCCUUCAGCCAGCUGUUUUUCCACCUGCUUUCAGAGAAUUACCUCCUCCCCCUCUGGAGCUGUUUGACUUAGAUGAAAUUUUUGCCUCUGAGAAAGCCCGUCUAGCAGAGAUUACAAACAAAUGCCUCAUUUAUGAAAACCUAUUGCUGUCAUCCUGGACUAAGAAUGCUCUGAGUCUUUGGAAGGUACUGAUGACAACUUGGAGUUUUAUGUCCGAAAGUGUGGCGAAAUCCUGGGAGUAACAAGCAAACUUCCAAAGGACAAGCAAGAUGCCAAACAUAUCCUGGAGCACAUCUUUUUCCAAGUGGUUGAGUUUAAGAAAGUGAAUCAGGAACAUGGUACCGACACAAGUGAAACUGGAUUCCAGAAUGGUAACUGAGACCUGGCUUUCUCCAAUCUGAGAGAUGUUUCAGUAAAAACAUACUUGUAAUUUUUUUUAACCUCUGUAUUCGUUAUAUUAAUUGGAAUUAUCCUGGUGGUUCUUUGAAUGUUUGGAUCGUUUAUGUGUAGUGAUUCAGAUAAUUUAAGCCUUUUGAGGAAGUGCCUUGUAUUUUGCGACCAUUUUCCAAAUAAUUCUCUAUUUUUUCCUGCUACUUUAUUGUAACUGUGAUUUUUAAAAAAAAAAAUAUGAAAAAAGUCUUAUGUUAAUAAAAUGUGGUUUUGGUCCUUC